rnacentral:lncRNA from 1 species
GUCUGAGAAGAAGAUAAAGUGCAAAAGCCUGUCUAUUAUGUAAAUCGGAUACUGUGUGAUGCUAAAAUAAGGUAUUCAAUGAUUAAUAAGGUUGUCUUUGCAAUCGUGACUACUAUUCGACGGUUACGACCUUACUUCCAGGCCCAUUCGGUAAAAGUCCUUACCGACCUCCCCCAAAGGUUCAUAUUUCAUAGACCAAAUACCUCAGG